rnacentral:rRNA from 1 species
UAUGGCCAUAUCACAUUGAAUCACCGUUUCUCGUACGAUUACCGAAGUUAAGCAACAUCGGCCUGGUUAGUACCUAAAUGGGUGACCGCUUGGGAAUAUCAGGUGCUGUAAG